rnacentral:rRNA from 1 species
UGAGGAAUAUUGGGCAAUGCCCGCAAGGGUGACCCAGCAACGCCGCGUGGAGGAUGAAUGUCGUAAGAUUGUAAACUCCUGUUAGAGGGGAAGAAUAGUACCGGUUGGACCGGUAUAUGACUGUACCCUCAGAGAAAGCCCCGGCUAACUACGUGCCAGCAGCCGCGGUAAUACGUAGGGGGCAAGCGUUGUCCGGAUUUACUGGGUGGAAAGGGCGCGCAGGCGGGAUAAAAAGUCAGUGGUGAAAUCCUACAGCUUAACUGUAGAACUGCCUUUGAUACUUUUAUUCUUGAGUUCGGGAGAGAGAGACGGAAUUCCAGGUGUAGUGGUGAAAUACGUAGAUAUCUGGAAGGACACCAGUUGCGAAGGCGGUCUCUUGGUCCGACACUGACGCUGAGGCGCGAAAGCCAGGGGAGCAAACG